AUUGAACGCUGGCGGCAUGCCUUACACAUGCAAGUCGAACGGCAGCAUGGAGAGCUUGCUCUCUGAAGGCGAGUGGCGAACGGGUGAGUAAUGCAUCGGAACGUACCGUGUAAUGGGGGAUAACGUAGCGAAAGUUACGCUAAUACCGCAUACGACCUGAGGGUGAAAGCAGGGGAUCGCAAGACCUUGCGCUAUACGAGCGGCCGAUGUCGGAUUAGCUAGUUGGUGAGGUAAAGGCUCACCAAGGCGACGAUCUGUAGCGGGUCUGAGAGGAUGAUCCGCCACACUGGGACUGAGACACGGCCCAGACUCCUACGGGAGGCAGCAGUGGGGAAUUUUGGACAAUGGGGGCAACCCUGAUCCAGCCAUGCCGCGUGAGUGAAGAAGGCCUUCGGGUUGUAAAGCUCUUUCGGCCGGGAAGAAAUCGCACAGGCUAAUACUCUGUGUGGAUGACGGUACCGGCAUAAGAAGCACCGGCUAACUACGUGCCAGCCGCCGCCGUAA
rnacentral:rRNA from 1 species